AUGUAGGUACAGUUACAAUACAACUCGUGUUUUACUGUCCUACCUCCUUCUUAAAGCACUUGAUACAUUACUAUCUCUGCCUAACUCUACCAUAGUAACACAGAGAUGCUUAGUUUCAAAUAU
rnacentral:snoRNA from 1 species